rnacentral:rRNA from 1 species
GUGACCUCGGAUCAGGUAGGGAUACCCGC